CCCUUAGACGUUCUGGGUCGCACGCGCGCUACACUGACCAGUGCAACAAGCAUCCGUCCUUGGCCGACAGGCCCGGGCAAUCUUUGAACGCUGGUCGUGAUGGGGAUAGACUUUUGCAAUUUUUGGUCUUCAACGAGGAAUUCCUAGUAAACGCAAGUCAUCAACUUGCAUUGAUUACGUCCCUGCCCUUUGUACACACCGCCCGUCGCACCUACCGAUUGAAUGGUCCGGUGAAGCCUCCGGAUUGGCGCGCACCUCGGUGCCGCCGAGAAGUUGGCUAAACCUUACCAUUUAGAGGAAGGUGAAGUCGUAACA
rnacentral:rRNA from 1 species